CACUCCUGCGGGAGGCAGCAGUGGGGAAUAUUGCACAAUGGGCGCAAGCCUGAUGCAGCCAUGCCGCGUGUAUGAAGAAGGCCUUCGGGUUGUAAAGUACUUUCAGCGGGGAGGAAGGCGAUAAGGUUAAUAACCUUGUCGAUUGACGUUACCCGCAGAAGAAGCACCGGCUAACUCCGUGCCAGCAGCCGCGGUAAUACGGAGGGUGCAAGCGUUAAUCGGAAUUACUGGGCGUAAAGCGCACGCAGGCGGUCUGUCAAGUCGGAUGUGAAAUCCCCGGGCUCAACCUGGGAACUGCAUUCGAAACUGGCAGGCUAGAGUCUUGUAGAGGGGGGUAGAAUUCCAGGUGUAGCGGUGAAAUGCGUAGAGAUCUGGAGGAAUACCGGUGGCGAAGGCGGCCCCCUGGACAAAGACUGACGCUCAGGUGCGAAAGCGUGGGGAGCAAACAGGAUUAGAAACCCUGGUAGUCCCAUGA
rnacentral:rRNA from 1 species